rnacentral:rRNA from 1 species
UACGAAGGGGGCUAGCGUUGCUCGGAAUGACUGGGCGUAAAGGGCGCGUAGGCGGUUUGGACAGUCAGAUGUGAAAUUCCUGGGCUCAACCUGGGGGCUGCAUUUGAUACGUUCGGACUAGAGUGGGGAAGAGGGUCGUGGAAUUCCCAGUGUAGAGGUGAAAUGCGCAGAUAUCAGGAAGAACACCCGUGGCGAAGGCGGCUCUCUGGGACGGUACUGACGCUGAGACGCGAAAGCGUGGGGAGCAAACAGG